UAACCCCCGCAUCCGCAUUCUUGGAUCGAAGCGGCGAGCAGUUUUUCGCAGGCGAGCGGUGCUGCAAGAUGCUUCACGGCGGGUGGUGGCCUCGUCGGCCGGCCACCGUGUGGCGACCCGGCUCCAACCCCCGCCCCCUUCGUUGCCCAUGGCGAUGGGUGAUGGCCCGACCUCCUUCUCCAUAUCCCGCACCCGCGCUCCCCUAUCUCCGUCGCUGGACUCUCGUCGCCACGCCGGCAGCGGCCCCUUCCUCCACUCCCCGCUCCUCUUCGUCACGCACGACAACAGAAGGAGGGGUCCUGAUGGUAGCAAGGCUUGCGACCCCUCCGUCACAAUUGCUCUGGAGCCCCGACAAAGCUAGCAGCAGCAACACAGGUUCCAUCGCACAGGUGCCACCAGGCUGCAUCUCCUCCCACAACAACGGUCGGCAACUAGGUUCGCCAUCGGAGUUCUUCAUCAUCGCCCCCUUUCUGUCGUUUUACACGAUUUCUUAAGUCAUCCCGGCCUCCCCAUUCUGUUUCAACAUGAUCUCUUAUUGGAGCGUGGUGGUAAUGCAGCCUCCUCGUGUUAGACGGGGUGCUCCCAUACCUCUUAUGCCAGAACGGUGGCAUCCUUCAUCACAGCCACCGCCUCCUCGCCGGGCCAGCCAGUCCCAUGGCAGCGCUCUCUUGCACCGAAUCAGCCGGCUGAUUGACGGGGUCAGUCCUGCAGGGACGAUGCAAGGCGCUGGUUUCCUGUGAUGUUUCAUUAUGCAACACCAUUUUGCCCCUGGCUUUCUCUUCCAACAGAUUAAAAGUAGUCUAGAAAGCAAUGAAGGCUGUUGGACACCUGUAAAUCUGAUUGAAGAAGUUCUGAAAAAUGUGGUCCUCUAAAGACAUUUUUCUGCAAUUUCCCUCGAUAUAUUCUUAAACCUGGUACUGGUAGGUAUGAUUGUAUAAACACACUGAUAAGAGUCAUCUUAGUUAUCUGAUACAGUGGAUGUUCUCUGUCAAUGAAUAUAGUUUGGAGUGGUCAAUUUACCAAACUAGUGUUAAGUAUGUGUACCAAAUAUAUGUUUCCUUCGUUGUAUACUCUUCUCAUCCUUUGCAGCAACUGACGUUGUUUCAGUUGUGGUUUUUUCUUUGUAAAGUGGUAGUUGUAUAUACAACAGUAUAUGUUAGUAGA